CUCACAAACCCAAGAGAUCAUGAUCUGAGCCGAACUUGGAAGCUUAACUGAGCCCCCCAGGUACCCCCCCCCAACUUUAAUAAAUAUUAUCUGAAUUAUUGGUUUCUUUAAAACUUAUAUAUGAUUUAGUCCAUUUCUGACAUUUCCCUAUGAGAGUUCCAAUUCAAAAUAUGGAAUGAACUCAGUAAUAAAAUUUGAUAUUUACUCUUUUAAUGUAUUUGUUGUAAAGCCUAGUGUUCCUUUUCUCUAUGGAAUUGAAUAAAGACUGGGGUGAGUAUGAUGCUGAGUCAGCUUUCUGCAGAAAAAAGUAGAAAUGAGGAACUUGAAUCAAGCUGCUCAAUCCAAAGCACAAGAAAAUGCAUUUUUUUUUUAACAAAACAGAAAAGAAAGUGUUACAGACAUAAACUCCUGAGCUUUAUUUCUACAUCUCCAAAUGCCUGUUGAAAAUUUCUGCUGAGUGACCUGUUAACCUCAAGUUGAAAAAUCCAUCUAAAAUUGGAGUCCUAAUCUUAGCCACUUACUGUCACCAAGUGUCCCCAUUCUUGGAUCACUCUAUUUACUCAGGAGGGAAACUCUGAAAUCAUCUUGGACUCUUCCUUCUCUCUCCUUUUCCUGUAGUCAGUCAUUCACAAGGAGCUGAUCCCAGUUUUUUUUUUCUCUGUACCAAGGGUUAAAAACUGGUGGCCCACAGGACUGCACACACCUCUUUAUGAACGUUUGUGUGAAUGGAUGUGUGAAUGUAUGCAUUGAGCCAAAACAGUUUUUUAUUUAAAUUUGGAUCAGAAUGCCUUUAGGUAUUCUUUAGGGGUACACACUGUCUGGUUAGUCAUUGCCUAUCUUCUUCCAUUCCUCCAGUUCUGUCCAUCUCUUCCUUUCUUAUGCAAAGUUUAGUUAAGUUGCAGAAGAACAGAUUCAAAUCUUACUUGUAGGAAAGUGAAAAAUGGGACUGGCAGCAUCAGGGUAUUCUUUGAUUUUCUGCUAAUUUGAUACAAGCAGUGGGGGUGAUCAAUGUUUUUCCUUGAAAAUAGAAUGCAAUCAUCAUCAAUUUUUAUACCGAACAGGUCCAGUCAUGACUUAAAGCAUGGCAACUCUCCAUGGAAUCUCAGAUUGUUAUUUAAUUCUAGCAAAAUACUAAGACUAAUUAUCGAGAAAGAGCGAGUCACAUUUGAAGAAACUGAUGGAACAGCUCGUAAAUUGGUCUCAUCACAGUCAACCUCUAAACCUCGGCAAAGACAUGGCACGGGCACAGAACCGACCACUGAACAAGGAGGAAGUAGCUGCCAGCGCCUUGUUGGCUUUGUAGGAGGAGGAGGAGGACACCCCCUGCCCCACGUUCAUGUUCAUGUUCAUGUUCCUGACACAUCCGUCCAGACCUCAGAAAACAGCAAUGGAAAUGAGACAUCCUUUUCCUCUGCUAAAGUGAGGAGUGUUCAGAGAAAGAGUCUACAGAGGGGCGGCGUCAGAACUCAGGUCUUCAUGGUAGAGUAACUCAACUUGGCUCCAACCGGGGGAUGAGGUUGGGUUGGUGUAACUUCGAAGGGGAGACCUCUCUGUACAACCACCCAUUUAUAACGCAGAGGAAAUGCUAACAAAUUCUCAUCUGGAAACGCAGAGUUCCUUUUAAAUAAAAAUCUAGAGGUAGUGAAUAAAUGCCAUAGUAUCUGCGAAUUUGACACUACUUUAAUAUUUCAUGUUUACUACUGAGUUACGCUCAGUUUAAAAUGGACAUAAGUGAUUUCUGAAUGAGGGUCCUAACAUUUUUGUAAUCUGAUUCCUUUGGUAUUUACCCAGAUAUAUUCAUCCAGGUAUCUCAGAGUUUUAGCUGAAAAAGCAAAAGGUCCCUUUUCUUUUGGUUUGCCAUUGUGAUACCAAGUACUACUCUAAGGACUCUUUGAGACUCUUUUGGGUCUCUAGUCUGUUUAUUGCAUCUUAGAUAGUUCUGAGUAGAGAUGAAAAGUGGGUCAGGAUACACAGCAAACACGUAUGGAAAUUGUAUGGGAAUUGUAUCAAAUUUUUCAGGGGAAAAAUUAUAUAUUUCAUAUUGAAGUUUAUCAGUAAGGAUCAAAGUUAUUAUAAAAAUGGUGUAACCAAUUUUGAUAUAUGUAUGUCUAUAAAUUCUGUAUUGCCCAAAUAUUUUAGAAAGAAAGGGAUUCUUAUGAAUUCAAUGGAAAACUUCAAAUCUAUUGCUUUUGCUUGCCUUGUGUCACUGAAAAAUGUUCAGUGAGUAGAUGUGUUAUACUUUUUAUACUGAGAUAUUUUAUUUUUGUAUUCAGUAAACUAUUCCAUUAUAGAGAAAUUAUUUUUGUAAAGAAAAGUGGGAAAUCAAUAAGCAAAUAGGAGUGCUUGUUUAAAAUGCCUGUGAUAAUACAAAAGUCACAUUUUUCUCCCUAAAUAUAUUUAGUUCAUAUUAUAGUUCGAUAUAUGGGGAGUCAGUUUAAUUUAUUUAAUGGUGUUUCAUUUUUGGGGUGACUCUGCUAAAUAUUAUAGCUAUUAUUUUGAUUUGACUUACUUUUCCACUUUAAUAAUUACUACUGGUGUCAAUGGUAACAGCUUGGAGGUAUUUUUUAGGGUGUAUCUUAAAAAUUCUAAUUAAGGAAAAGUCUCCUCCCUUCCAUUACAGAAAGAGUUUUUAUUUGGCAAUACAUUAUUAACUUAUAAAUGAGCACUCUAAAAGUGAUUUUUACCUGUGGAUUUUUCUUUUAUUCAUAUGUUAAGAUACUAUAUUUUAUGUAAUUGUAAAUAUAUUUAAUGCUGCUUAUUCAAAUAUGCAUGAAGUUUACAUAUUCUGAAAAGAACCAACUUUCUGACCUAAUUUAAUUAGCAUUAAACAGAAUGUAAACAUGAAUGUCUUAAAAAAUGAACAGCCAGGGGAGCACAAAUUAUGUAGAUAUUCUAAAAUUAAAAAAAAAAAAAAAAAGAAAGAAAACAAUUCACAGCCAGUGAAGGAAACUCAGUAAUAAGAAGCAAGAGGAAAUAACUGCAUUUCAUAAUUUUUGUCACCUGGACCCUAAAGGUGAUGAUAAAAUUCUGUUUUCCUUCCUGGGAUGUUCCAACCUGUACAUGCAUGGAUGCAGCAACAUGUCAACUUACCAUUGCUGAGGUUUUGACUAGAGUUCAACUUAAAUUCUUCUUUUUUAAAGUUCUAGAUGACUGCAACCAAUACAGUGCCAGUGUUUCUUAUAAAAGCUAACAAAUUGGUAAUAAUGAUAAUGGAGUUAGCAAGUUAGUAAGUCUGCAUACCAUAUUGAGAGUUUGACUCUAGUUUAUUUCUACUCUUGCUACUAUCUCACCUGCAUUCCUUGUUUUCCACUCACUUGGGUCUAGGUCAGUGGUUCUCAAAAUGUAGUGUGCGGGGUGACUUGAAGAGCUUUCAGAAACAUUGCUGAGCCACCAGCAGAGUUUCUGAUCCAGUCGGGUUGGGAUGGAGACUGAGAACCUGCAUUCCUAAUAGCUUCGUGGCUAAUGCUGAUGGCUUUGGUCCAGAACUACAGUGGAAGAUGUGCUGGCCUGGAUAAAUUUCAGGAGAGUACUUUUUUUCUGACAUAAGAAGUCCAGGAAUAGUUUAAGAUAGUAUUUGUUACAUAGACAUGUUUUCAUAAGAAUAGAUUAUGAUUUUGCCCAUAUUUCCAAAACUGGACUUGGGUUUUUUAUUUUUUUGAUGUUGACAAUGGUGAAUAAAGGAGGUUUAAAAUAGCAUUAAGCAGGGCACCUGUAGGUGAAUGUCUGACUUCGGCUCAGGUCAUGAUCUCACGGCUCGUGGGUUCGAACCCCGCGUCGGGCUCUGUAAUUACAGCUCAGAGCCUGGAGCCUGCUUUGGAUUCUGUGACUCCCUCUCUCUCUGCCCCUCCCCCUCUGGCUCUCUCUCUCAAAAAUAAGUGAACAUUAAAAAAAAUUUUUAAUGUCAUUAAACAAUAUUUUUUUGUCUAAUAAACAGAAUCUUUUUUGUCUAAUAAAAAUAUUUUAAUAUUAAUUGCUAUUCAAGUCGCCUGCAUUUUUAAUAAUUAGUAUUUUUGAUUAAACAAAAUGCUGUUCACUUUCAUAUGCCAUAUACACCUAUAGCUGGAACUUGACUUAUUUCAUCUGUGCCCUAUUUUAUUUUUAUGAAUGCUGGUGGUGCACACCACUCCCUGCUCACAUCAGGGGUCCCUAAGAUAACCAUUUUGCAAAACCUUUGGAACAGAUUGCUUACACUACUUUGACUCAACUUGCUUCACCCUUCCCUACAUGCAUACAAACCAGGAUUUCCCUGGUUUGAAGUCCAAUCAAAUAUAAACUAUUCCUGGGAUAGAGUGAAAAAGAUGUGAACUCCAGAGUAACUACUGAGUAUAGUGGUCAAUAAUCUGAUCCACACAGAUUUAUUGAGUACCUGUUUUAUGUGUGUGUGUGUGCAUUUCUAUACAGGCAAUUAAUUUAAUUCUCACAACAAAUUUAUUAUUCCAAUUUCACAAAUAAGGAAAGUGAGACAGCCAAAAGAAAUGACUUGUCUAAGUAUCAACAGAUAGAAAAAGACACUUCCAGGAUUUGAGCCUGAACUUUCUGAUGUCAGGUUGAGAAGUCUUCCAACCAUUCUGUUUCUAUUUAAAAAGAAAUCAAAGAGGUCUCAGAGACUUUACCUGCAGUGAUUUUGCCCUGAUUCCUGCUGUGACUACAAGUGCUUCACUCACCGCAGUUGUCCUCAUCCGCUUGGUUGCCACAGUCGUCCACACCAUUGCAAUGAAGAAGCUGAGGCAAGCACUUGGUGAUAUUCCCACAGGGGAAAUAGCCGAGGGAGCACUUGACAUCCUGCCCACUCCCGUGAAGGACUGUGAUGAAGAAGGAGGAGAGAAGGUUAAUACAAAGGCUUGGCAAACAAUGGUUUCUCCCCAGUAUCCUAAAACCUGUAAUCUCAUUCUGGCUUGUACCGCCCACUGUGUGGCCGCCUCACCUUGCUUACUAGCCUUAUGCCAACUGUUUUCCAAGAACCUCCACGCCAAUGGGAUGUUCUCUUCUGUGUCCCCAGAAGAUGCCAGGAUUCUCCUUUCUUUGCCUUUUCUCAUGCUGUUUCCCACGUGGAAUGUCCUCCACCCCCAUCCUUUUUCUAUGCAAUGUCUGCCCAUAUUUUAGAGUUUAUCUCAAUUCCCUUCUUCUCCCUUUCAAAAAUAUUUUAACCAAUCAUUUUAAAAAUCGGGAAUUUAUUGAAUUCUUACUCAGAAUCAAGACUCUUCUGGUAUUAAAGGAAGAAGACAUAGAGAACAUCAGGAAAGUACAUGCACAUGCUCACUCACAGACUGGAUAGUGCCUGUGUGUGAGGCUCUGUGCAAGAUUUUGUGUAAACCACACUGAAUGAAACAAAGUUCCUGCCCAAACUUUCAGAUGGGCUUCUUUCACUUAGUAAUACACAUUUGAGGGUCCUCUAUGUCUUUUUAUGGCUUAAUAACUAAUUUAUUUUAGCACUGAAUAAUAUUCCAUUGUUUGAACGUACCAUAGUUUAUUUAUCUUUACUUACUGAAGGACAUUUCAGUUUCACCCAAGUUUUGGCAAUUAUGAAUAAAGCUGCUAUAAGCAUCCAUCCACAUGCAGGUGUUUGUGUGGAUAUAAGUUAACUAUGCCAUUUUAAAACCUUAGAUUUAUAUAAAUUUUAAAGAUUAUUGGAGACUCCAAAUGUAGUUCUGUUACUUGCUAUCCUUACCAAGUUUGUACAUGUUUGGAACUUUCUAGAAUAUUGUCAAUUAAAAGAAAUAAAAACA